rnacentral:tRNA from 1 species
GCCUCGGUAGUCUAAUUGGCUAGGACACUUGCGAAUAAAGCAAGCGAUCUGGGUUCGACUCCCAUCCGAGGUA